rnacentral:rRNA from 1 species
GACGAACCGUGCGAACGUUGUUCGGAAUCACUGGGCUUAAAGGGCGCGUAGGCGGGCUCACAAGUCAGGGGUGAAAUCCCACGGCUCAACCGUGGAAGUGCCUUUGAUACUGUGGGUCUUGAGGGAGGUAGGGGCGUGCGGAACUUCCGGUGGAGCGGUGAAAUGCGUAGAUAUCGGAAGGAACACCGGUGGCGAAAGCGGCGCGCUGGACCUCUACUGACGCUGAGGCGCGAAAGCCAGGGGAGCAAACGGG